UACGGAGGGUGCAAGCGUUAUCCGGAUUCACUGGGUUUAAAGGGUGCGUAGGCGGGCAGGUAAGUCCGUGGUGAAAUCUCUGAGCUUAACUCAGAAACUGCCAUGGAUACUAUUUGUCUUGAAUAUUGUGGAGGUAAGCGGAAUAUGUCAUGUAGCGGUGAAAUGCUUAGAUAUGACAUAGAACACCGAUUGCGAAGGCAGCUGGCUAGACCUUUAUUGACGCUGAGGCACGAAAGCGUGGGGAGCAAACAGG
rnacentral:rRNA from 1 species